rnacentral:misc_RNA from 1 species
GUUGGGAUUGAGCAUUCAUUGGGGUAAUGACAUGAUAAGGUGGGGUUGCAACCUGUUUUUGGUCAGUCAAAUUUCUUAUAUGAUUUGAUUGGUAGCAUUGCACACUUAUCCUCAUUUUUCAAGUGUGGUAUGAGGAGUCUAUAGGUCAUAUUGAUCAUUCAGCAUUCUGGUGAACAAGGGGCUAGCAUCUAGACAGCUUUGUUUAACUUGUUCCUUGGGUGUUGCUUGUUAUGGCGAGAAUAGCUUAUUGCACCUUGCUGUUUUAGUGCUUAGACUGUGUUUACCUUAUGCUGUGCAAGAGAGAGAAAAAUGGGGGAAUGGUCUACAUGGAUAAGCACUUUUUGUUGGUUUUCUAGUACACUGGGUUAUUCAUUAACUAGAGAAUGAUAACCAUAUGACGAAGAACAGUGGGCAUCUUCGUUUGUGACUUGUUCUGUGGGUUUCUUACAGCUCAUCCAUUUCCGUGGAAGUUAAUCAAUCAUCAAUUAAUAUCAAAUUCCAAUGACAGUGUGUUACUUGUCAUUCCAAAAUACACCACCAAAGGUCCAAUAUGCUUGGUCAUUCUAAAGCUUCUGUGCUCUAUUGUGACAAAAAUAGACAAAAAUAAGUUUAUCUUAUGUGAGGCUGUUGAAGAUUUGCACGUAUAACUUUUCAAGUACUAACAUUCUAAUCUUGUUUUUUCUAUAUUAGCCGGCAAUGGUGGAUAAUUUUAGGUUAUUAUUAUGAAUGAAUUAUAGAUUUGGUUGUUUGGACGUGUGUCAUUGUAUGUGAACAGUUUACUUCAAUUUGUUUGGUAUGAAUAUAUCUUUAAAUAUUUAAAAUAUCUGAUAGAUAUUUACAGGUAUUAUUGCAUGUUUUUUUCCUUUUCUGAAAUAUCCUAUGGGUUGCAUCAAGAAUGCCUGAUGAACCUUCUAAACUGUCGUAAAGCUAUUGUACUUGAUUAGUGGUGAUUCUGAACUGUUGUCAUCUACAGAUAUGAUUGAAGAACUAAU